CGAACGCUGGCGGCGUGCUUACCACAUGCAAGUCGAACGGAAAGGCCCUGCUUUUGUGGGGUGCUCGAGUGGCGAACGGGUGAGUAACACGUGAGUAACCUGCCCUUGACUUUGGGAUAACUUCAGGAAACUGGGGCUAAUACCGGAUAGGAGCUCCUGCUGCAUGGUGGGGGUUGGAAAGUUUCGGCGGUUGGGGAUGGACUCGCGGCUUAUCAGCUUGUUGGUGGGGUAGUGGCUUACCAAGGCUUUGACGGGUAGCCGGCCUGAGAGGGUGACCGGCCACAUUGGGACUGAGAUACGGCCCAGACUCCUACGGGAGGCAGCAGUGGGGAAUAUUGCACAAUGGGCGGAAGCCUGAUGCGGCAACGCCGCGUGCGGGAUGACGGCCUUCGGGUUGUAAACCGCUUUCGCCUGUGACGAAGCGUGAGUGACGGUAAUGGGUAAAGAAGCACCGGCUAACUACGUG
rnacentral:rRNA from 1 species